rnacentral:rRNA from 1 species
CCUACGGGAGGCAGCAGUGGGGAAUUUUGGACAAUGGGCGCAAGCCUGAUCCAGCAAUGCCGCGUGCAGGAUGAAGGCCUUCGGGUUGUAAACUGCUUUUGUACGGAACGAAAAAGUCUGCCCUAAUACGGUGGGCCCAUGACGGUACCGUAAGAAUAAGCACCGGCUAACUACGUGCCAGCAGCCGCGGUAAUACGUAGGGUGCGAGCGUUAAUCGGAAUUACUGGGCGUAAAGCGUGCGCAGGCGGUUAUAUAAGACAGAUGUGAAAUCCCCGGGCUCAACCUGGGACCUGCAUUUGUGACUGUAUAGCUAGAGUACGGUAGAGGGGGAUGGAAUUCCGCGUGUAGCAGUGAAAUGCGUAGAUAUGCGGAGGAACACCGAUGGCGAAGGCAAUCCCCUGGACCUGUACUGACGCUCAUGCACGAAAGCGUGGGGAGCAAACAGGAUUAGAUACCCUGGUAGUCCACGCCCUAAACGAUGUCAACUGGUUGUUGGGUCUUCACUGACUCAGUAACGAAGCUAACGCGUGAAGUUGACCGCCUGGGGAAGUACGGCCGCAAGGUUGAAACUUCAAAUUGAGUUGNGGCGNGAGAGNGCGACGACGACACGAGGAGGAGG